UACGUAGGGUGCGAGCGUUAAUCGGAAUUACUGGGCGUAAAGCGUGCGCAGGCGGUUCGUUGUGUCGGCGGUGAAAGCCCCGGGCUCAACCUGGGAAUGGCCGUUGAAACUGGCGAACUGGAGUGUGGCAGAGGGGGGUGGAAUUCCGCGUGUAGCAGUGAAAUGCGUAGAGAUGUGGAGGAACACCGAUGGCGAAGGCAGCUCCCUGGGUCAAGAUUGACGCUCAUGCACGAAAGCGUGGGGAGCAAACAGG
rnacentral:rRNA from 1 species